GGGGAUUUGCCAAUGGGCGAAACCUGAUGCAGCCUGCCGCGUGUAUGAAGAAGGCCUUCGGGUUGUAAAGUACUUUCAGUUGUGAGGAAGGGUGUGUAGUUAAUAGCUGCGCAUCUUGACGUUAGCAACAGAAGAAGCACCGGCUAACUCCGUGCCAGCAGCCGCGGUAAUACGGAGGGUGCGAGCGUUAAUCGGAAUUACUGGGCGUAAAGCGCAUGCAGGUGGUUCAUUAAGUCAGAUGUGAAAGCCCGGGGCUCAACCUCGGAACUGCAUUUGAAACUGGUGAACUAGAGUACUGUAGAGGGGGGUAGAAUUUCAGGUGUAGCGGUGAAAUGCGUAGAGAUCUGAAGGAAUACCAGUGGCGAAGGCGGCCCCCUGGACAGAUACUGACACUCAGAUGCGAAAGCGUGGGGAGCAAACAGGAUUAGAUACCCUGGUAGUCCACGCCGUAAACGAUGUCUACUUGGAGGUUGUGGCCUUGAGCCGUGGCUUUCGGAGCUAACGCGUUAAGUAGACCGCCUGGGGAGUACGGUCGCAAGAUUAAAACUCAAAUGAAUUGACGGGGGCCCGCACAAGCGGUGGAGCAUGUGGUUUAAUUCGAUGCAACGCGAAGAACCUUACCUACUCUUGACAUCCAGAGAAGCCAGCGGAGACGCAGGUGUGCUUCGGGANUCUAGACAGG
rnacentral:rRNA from 1 species